rnacentral:rRNA from 1 species
AGCAGCCGCGGUAAUUCCAGCUCCAAUAGCGUAUAUUAAAGUUGUUGCAGUUAAAAAGCUCGUAGUUGAAUUUCGGGAUCAAUUUAUCGGUCGUGCCUAUGGUGUGAACUGGUACAAUUGGUUUCUCCCUUCUGACGAAGCAUGAUGUCAUUAAUUUGGUGUCGUGGGGAAUCAGGACUGUUACUUUGAAAAAAUUAGAGUGUUUAAAGCAAGCAUUAGCUUGAAUACAUUAGCAUGGAAUAAUGAAAUAGGACGUUUGAUCCUAUUUCGUUGGUUUCUAGGAUCGACGUAAUGAUUAAUAGGGAUAGUUGGGGGCAUUAGUAUUCAAUUGUCAGAGGUGAAAUUCUUGGAUUUAUUGAAGACUAACUACUGCGAAAGCAUUUGCCAAGGAUGUUUUCAUUAAUCAAGAACGAAAGUUAGGGGAUCGAAGACGAUCAGAUACCGUCGUAGUCUUAACCAUAAACUAUGCCGACUAGGGAUCGGAUGAUGUUAAUUUUUUAAUGACUCA